rnacentral:rRNA from 1 species
AUGAACGCCGACGAGUUGCAGAAGCUCGAAGAGGAGCUCAAGAACCGCGAGUCCAUCAUCAGGACGCGCGAAGAAGAACUCAAGCGCCUUGCCGCGGAGCAAGGCAAGGCUGCCGUCGCACCCUCUCCUGCCACCAUCCCUGCACCCUCCUCCUACGUUGCUUCAAUCAAAACCUAUGUGCCCAUCACCCUCGAUCUUCAGGACUCUAACUACUCCAAGUGGCGCGAGCUUUUUCUCGUAGCUCUUGGACGCUAUGGCCUCUCCAGCCACGUCAUCGGCGACGCCGCCGCCACCCCCUCCGACACAUCGCCCACCUCCGAUUGGGGACGUGAUGACUAUACGGUGCUCUCCUGGAUUUACGGCUCGAUUUCCAUCGAGCUGUUCGGCAUCAUCAUGGCUCCGGGCUCCACGACGCGGCAGGUGUGGGACUCCAUCGCCAACCUCUUCCACGACAACAAGAAAAGCCGCGCCCUCGCCCUCGACGCCGAGUUCCGCAACACACCGCAAGGAGACAUGUCCAUCCAUGACUACUGCGCGAAGCUCAAGUCUCUCUCCGACGCUCUCGGCUAUGUCGGCAUAACCAUCUCUGAUGAGACGCUCGUCCUAACGGUGCUCCGCGGCCUCAACGAGCAAUUCAGCCACCUGCGGUCCUUCCUUCCGUUUCAGGUGCCGUUUCCAUCUUUCCUCCAGACGCGCUCGGCCCUCGUUCUUGAAGAAGCACAGAAGAAGACGGAUGCAAAGAACGCUGCUGCUACUGCGCUCUGGGCCAGCGGAAACAGUAUAUUGCCAAGCGCGGGCGGCGAACGUGCUCCAUUGUCCGGGGGCGGACACAGCUACGGUGCUCAGCGUCCUGUCGGUCCCUCUUCCAGCUCAUCCAACAGCGGCGGCCGCGGCACCUUCAGCAACAAUCGCAGCCGCGGCCGCGGCGGUCGAGGACGGGGCCGCUCCGAGCCCUGGAUGUACAAUCCUUGGACUGGCCUUCCAACGCGUGCACAACUUUAUCAACACCCUGUUCCAGCACCGUGGCAAUCACAGCCAUGGCGUGCUCCUGGCGUCCUUGGUCCACGACCUGCGGCUGCUUCCCCGCAGGCGUACGCAGCAUACGGCCCAGCUCCGACAACUCCCACCUACAACGGGCAUCAGCAACAACUCGAGCCAGCACUUCUGAACGCACUCAACAACAUGCAUCUUCCCGGAAACCAGGAGUGGUACAUGGACACAGGAGCUUCCUCCCACAUGGCAUCUAAUCACGGCGUUUCCUUCCAGGGCCGUGAUCCUUCGCUGCAAUAG